rnacentral:lncRNA from 1 species
CCCCAGAUUUGAUCUCGGGCACCCCAAAACUGACCCUGAACCCCAAAAAUUACGCGGAGCCCCAAAACGAAUGCCCGAAAAUUGACCUUGAACCCCCAAAAUCUCGCCCCGGAAACCCCAAAAUCUCCCCUCUCUGGACCCCGAAACCCGUGGGACACCCGCCGCACCCCAAAACUCCCAGGAUCGCCCCAAAACUUUCUCGGGACACCCCAAAAUCCCCUCGGGAACCCCAAAAUCCCCCCAGAGCUCGGGUGGGCCCCACCGUGACUCAGCUCGCGGCGUUGCCCUUUUAAGGCUCCGCCCACUCGGGGCGGGCGCGCGGUGACGUCACUGCCACAAGCCCCGCCCACACCCCGCGAGCUCUGCAGCGGAGCCCAGUUUAAUCCCGGCUCAUUCCCGGCUCAUUCCCGGCUCGUUCCCGCAGCUCCCGGACACUCGGACACUCCGGACACUCCGGACACUCGGACACUCCUCCGGACACUCGGACACUCGGUCAGUCACCCCCAAACUCCUCCUCAAACCUUGUGCCUCCCACUUUCCCCCAAAAAUCCGCCCCAAUUUUCCUUCACCUUUGGCGUGUUUUUCCCUCGGAAAUUUUGGUCGUUUUUAUCUGAAAAUCUCGGGAAUUUUUCCAUAAAGUUUGGGAUUUAUUUUUUUUUUCCUUGAAGUUUUGGGUUUGUUUUU